rnacentral:rRNA from 1 species
GAGUUUGAUCCUGGCUCAGAACGAACGCUGGCGGCAGGCUUAACACAUGCAAGUCGAGCGCGCCCUUCGGGGUGAGCGGCGGACGGGUGAGUAACGCGUGGGAACGUGCCCUUUGGUUCGGAAUAGCCCCGGGAAACUGGGAGUAAUGCCGAAUAAGCCCUUGGCAGCGAUGUCUUGGGGAAAGAUUUAUCGCCAAAGGAUCGGCCCGCGUCGGAUUAGGUAGUUGGUGGGGUAACGGCCUACCAAGCCGACGAUCCGUAGCUGGUUUGAGAGGAUGACCAGCCACACUGGGACUGAGACACGGCCCAGACUCCUACGGGAGGCAGCAGUGGGGAAUCUUGGACAAUGGGGGCAACCCUGAUCCAGCCAUGCCGCGUGAGCGAUGAAGGCCUUAGGGUUGUAAAGCUCUUUCAGCGGGGAAGAUAAUGACGGUACCGCAGAAGAAGCCCCGGCUAACUCCGUGCCAGCCGCCGCCGUAAC